rnacentral:rRNA from 11 species
GUAUGGGACUAAAAUACCUGGAAGACAACAGAUCCCAUCUGAUCUUGGAAGCUAAGCAAAGUCUGUCCUGGUUUGUGCUUAGAUGGGAUAAUAUCAGUAAAUGCCAGGUGUUUUGUGGU